AGUCGAGGGGCAGCAUUUUAGUUUGCUUGCAAACUAAAGAUGGCGACCGGCGCACGGGCUGAGCUAACACGCUAUCCAACCUGCCGAUAACUCGGGGAUAGCCUUUCGAAAGAAAGAUUAAUAUCCGAUAGUAUAUUAAAACCGCAUGGUUUUACUAUUAAAGAAUUUCGGUUAUCGAUGGGGAUGCGUUCCAUUAGUUUGUUGGCGGGGUAACGGCCCACCAAGACUACGAUGGAUAGGGGUUCUGAGAGGAAGGUCCCCCACAUUGGAACUGAGACACGGUCCAAACUCAUACGGGAGGCAGCAGUGAGGAAUAUUGGUCAAUGGACGAGAGUCUGAACCAGCCAAGUAGCGUGAAGGAUGACUGCCCUAUGGGUUGUAAACUUCUUUUAUUAUGGGAAUAAAGUAUUCCCACGUGUGGGAUUUUUGUAUGUACCAUAUGAAUAANGGAUCGGCUAACUCCGUGCCAGCAGCCCGCGGUAAUACGGAGGAUCCGAGCGUUAUCCGGAUUUAUUGGGGUUAAAGGGAGCGUAGGUGGAUUGUUAAGUCAGUUGUGAAAGUUUGCGGCUCAACCGUAAAAUUGCAGUUGAAACUGGCAGUCUUGAGUACAGUAGAGGUGGGCGGAAUUCGUGGUGUAGCGGUGAAAUGCUUAGAUAUCACGAAGAACUCCGAUUGCGAAGGCAGCUCACUAGACUGCAACUGACACUGAUGCUCGAAAGUGUGGGUAUCAAACAGGAUUAGAUACCCUGGUAGUCCACACAGUAAACGAUGAAUACUCGCUGUUUGCGAUAUACAGUAAGCGGCCAAGCGAAAGCAUUAAGUAUUCCACCUGGGGAGUACGCCGGCAACGGUGAAACUCAAAGGAAUUGACGGGGGCCCGCACAAGCGGAGGAACAUGUGGUUUAAUUCGAUGAUACGCGAGGAACCUUACCCGGGCCUAAAUUGCAUUUGAAUAAUCUGGAAACAGGUUAGCCGCAAGGCAAAUGUGAAGGUGCUGCAUGGUUGUCGUCAGCUCGUGCCGUGAGGUGUCGGCUUAAGUGCCAUAACGAGCGCAACCCUUAUCUUUAGUUACUAACAGGUCAUGCUGAGGACUCUAGAGAGACUGCCGUCGUAAGAUGUGAGGAAGGUGGGGAUGACGUCAAAUCAGCACGGCCCUUACGUCCGGGGCUACACACGUGUUACAAUGGGGGGUACAGAAGGCAGCUACCUGGCGACAGGAUGCUAAUCCCAAAAACCUCUCUCAGUUCGGAUCGAAGUCUGCAACCCGACUUCGUGAAGCUGGAUUCGCUAGUAAUCGCGCAUCANNCCAUGGCGCGGUGAAUACGUUCCCGGGCCUUGUACCCUAAAAACNGUCAAGCCAUGAAAGCCGGGGGUANCUGAAGUACGUAACCGCAAGGAGCUCCUAGG
rnacentral:rRNA from 1 species